rnacentral:rRNA from 1 species
GUUCUUCGUGAACAUGGCGGACUGCUCAGUAACACGUGGACAACCUACCCUUCGGUCCGGGCCAUAAUACCUGGGGAAACUAGGGGAGUAAUUUCCGGAUAGGUCACAGAUGCUGGAAUGCUCUGCGACUCAAAGCUCCGGCGCCGAAGGAUGGGUCUGCGGCCUAUCAGGGUUGUAGUGGGUGUAACGUACCUACUAGCCUACGACGGGUACGGGUUGUGAGAGCAAGAGCCCGGAGAUGGAUUCUGAGACACGAAUCCAGGCCCUACGGGGUGGCAGCAGGCGCGAAAACUUUAACAAUGCGGGAAACCGUGAUAAGGGAAGUCUCGAGUGCCAGCAUAUAAUGUUGGCUGUCCAGAUGCCUAAAAAGACAUCUGUUAGCAAGGGCCGGGCAAGACCGGUGCCAGCCGCCGCGGUAAUA